rnacentral:rRNA from 1 species
CUACGGGGUGCACCAGUGGGGAAUAUUGGACAAUGGGCGCAAGCCUGAUCCAGCCAUGCCGCGUGAGUGAUGAAGGCCUUAGGGUUGUAAAGCUCUUUUAGCAGGGACGAUAAUGACGGUACCUGCAGAAAAAGCCCCGGCCAACUUCGUGCCAGCAGCCGCGGUAAUACGAAGGGGGCUAGCGUUGCUCGGAAUCACUGGGCGUAAAGCGCACGUAGGUGGGUCGUUAAGUCGGGGGUGAAAUCCCAGAGCUCAACUCUGGAACUGCCUUCGAUACUGGCGACCUUCGAGUCCGGGAGAGGUGAGUGGAACUGCGAGUGUAGAGGUGAAAUUCGUAGAUAUUCGCAAGAACACCAGUGGCGAAGGCGGCUCACUGGCCCGGUACUGACACUGAGGUGCGAAAGCGUGGGGAGCAAACAGGAUUAGAUACCCUAGUAGUC